UGCGGAAACGGGCGUCGAGUAACACGUAGGCAACCUGCCUGUACGACUGGGAUAACUCCGGGAAACCGGAGCUAAUACCGGAUACGUUUUUCAGACCGCAUGGUCUGAAAGAGAAAGACCUUUGGUCACGUACAGAUGGGCCUGCGGCGCAUUAGCUAGUUGGUGGGGUAACGGCCUACCAAGGCGACGAUGCGUAGCCGACCUGAGAGGGUGAUCGGCCACACUGGGACUGAGACACGGCCCAGACUCCUACGGGAGGCAGCAGUAGGGAAUCUUCCGCAAUGGACGAAAGUCUGACGGAGCAACGCCGCGUGAACGAUGAAGGUUUUCGGAUCGUAAAGUUCUGUUGUUAGGGAAGAACCGCCGGGAUGACCUCCCGGUCUGACGGUACCUAACGAGAAAGCCCCGGCUAACUACGUGCUAGCAGCCGCGGUAAUACAUAAGGGGGCUAGCGUUGUCCGGAAUUAUUGGGCGUA
rnacentral:rRNA from 1 species